rnacentral:rRNA from 1 species
AUUGAACGCUGGCGGCAGGCCUAACACAUGCAAGUCGAACGGUGGCACAGAGAGCUUGCUCUCGGGUGACGAGUGGCGGACGGGUGAGUAAUGUCUGGGAAACUGCCCGAUGGAGGGGGAUAACUACUGGAAACGGUAGCUAAUACCGCAUAAUGUCGCAAGACCAAAGAGGGGGACCUUCGGGCCUCUUGCCAUCGGAUGUGCCCAGAUGGGAUUAGCUUGUUGGUGAGGUAAUGGCUCACCAAGGCGACGAUCCCUAGCUGGUCUGAGAGGAUGACCAGCCACACUGGAACUGAGACACGGUCCAGACUCCUACGGGAGGCAGCAGUGGGGAAUAUUGCACAAUGGGCGCAAGCCUGAUGCAGCCAUGCCGCGUGUGUGAAGAAGGCCUUCGGGUUGUAAAGCACUUUCAGCGGGGAGGAAGGCAAUGCGGUUAAUAACCGUGUUGAUUGACGUUACCCGCAGAAGAAGCACCGGCUAACUCCGU